CCCAAAUACAAAUUCUGAAGGCCAAACCAAAUAAUGCUUUCCAUUUAAAUAAAGUAAACACUCACAAUUUCCUUUUCUUACAAAAGAAACAAUGAAAGAAACCAGACAAGUGGUGGUGAUGUGGACUUUAUCCCUGCAGGCUGAAUGUAAGGAUAGGAUCAGUUUUCUGAGAUGAAAGGAAGGUAUGAGAACGUGAAGCAUACAUGUAUUCGCUUUCUCCGCCAUGAGCACAAGUUGUUUUUUCUCGAACAAUGCAAGAGAGCUGCGUGUCAACAGAACAAGAUAGAAAAGAGCGUACAACGAGUUCGGUUAAGGACCAAAACCCGAGUACAAAGAGUCAAAGACCCAUACCCACACACUCACAAGAAAGAGGAGUUUCCAUGUUUCCCAGAUUCUAUUAUUUGUUUAUUACUCUUAGUCUAUUGUUGGCUGUAACUUUUACUUCUUCAGUUAAGGUUGAAAUUCAGUACCCUUCGACAUUUUCUGCUUUUCUUCAGUCUAUUUGAUUGUCCAUCAGACAUUGCAUCCAGGCUCCUUACACCAUGCAGUUGGUGGAUAUGAACAGGGUAAAGAAGGGAAUAUAUCCUAUUUUCCAUUUACUUUCCUUUUGUGUUGAUUAGUUGCUUGAAAACUUUACAAAUGCUACUCAGAUAGGUAAACUUAAACAGUCAUUUGGUUGAGUUUUUUGAAGGCUCAUGUUCUGAUGCAGUUCGAGGUCAAAAGUUUGCAGAGUUAUUUCCCAGUUACCAAGAUCAAUGACUGACUUAUUAGGAUGAUAAAAAGUAUAUGGUCAAAGGGAUGAUAUGAUUGAAUUGAAAUUGUUGUCAAGACUCGACCACGGUCAUCCAGGUUAGUUAGCAUUUGGCACAGCAAUAUGCCUUGACAUAAAUAAAGAAAAGGAGACAGAUUGAGAGUUGGUAUAGUGCUGUUGAGGGGUUGCUUUCAGCACUUUCUCUUUCUGAAUGCCACCAAGCUCCCUGUCCAUGCAAUUUAUACCAGUGCUGCCGUUAUUUGCUUUCGUGAUAUGCAUAUGAAGAUGUGGCCUUGUUUUUGGCAGUGGCAGUAAUUUCUGAUUACAUUAUCACGCACGAUUGUCUUCAAAUUUUGCAUGGAAGUACAUGCUUAAGGUUCUUCUGCUUGGCAUUUUCAGUAAUUAUUACCCUUGUAUUCUUGAAAAAAAAAUCUAAUUUCUGUAUAUGAUUGGUUAUAGGCUUGACUCGCAAGCGUGCAGGUUGAUGAGUGGUGGUAUUAGGCAUGAAUUGAUGCUUCUUGAUCAAGCAAGAAACAGACUUUUGGCUGCCUAUUCUGCCUAACACAUGACCUCAUGCUGUCAAGCAGCAUCUGUCGCUUCACUAGUCAAUCCAAAGAAGUUGUUAUGUCUCUCAAAAUCUUAUCCAAUCAACUACCCAACCGAAUUAACAGUUUGAUGGAUGCUUGUCUACAACGCGCAGCAUAUAUUGGAUUCUUUUUUUCCCUUUCUUGAAAUGGUGCACAUAUUGUACCUCAAUCAGUUAUGGGAUCAGUUCCAAAACUGUGCUAGAAUUUCUGUUGAGAUAGCUAGUGCGUAUUCUGGCUAUUGUAAAUUUCUUGUGAGAGAUGAGCGUAUGCCAGCUUGUUUUUUUUUUUAAAAAAAUGAUUGAAAUGUCUGCAUGAAGGGAAAUGCUUUUAAAAUCAAACUUACAAUAUCUGUGCCUACCUGUUAUCGCCUCAUGGGCCAUGGCUAGGAACAUGAUAGAAAAAACAAUACACAUCAUACCAUCAUCAUGAAAAGGAAACUUCUUUACAUGGUCCCAUACCCUUCUCUAAACAUAAUGCUUGUGUUUCAAGCGUGCCUUUUGCUACUCUCAUCUGCCUGUUCAUCAUUUCCUUCAUAUCUCAAGCCUAAUUUCAGGUUCCUUCCUUUCUUGAACAACAAUCCUUCGCAUCUUUUACAAUGGUGAUGAGCGAUGAGUUGGAGUUGUUGGCCUUGGCACGUGCGGCCAAACCGAGGGAUCCCACGGUUGUCAAUUGCUGUGCUGGCGUUGUCUGUCUUUGGGUCCUAGUCCUAGGCCAGUUUCCAAACAUGGCGUCCCGGAACGGCGGAACCCCACACCAGCUGCACAUGAAAGUACUGUGCUCACUGUUCACACUUCCAUCCAGAGUUGCAUGAAGGUACUGUGCUUCCAAAGUAUUGGAUAGAGUUUCGAUACGGCAUGUGCUGUGCAGCGCAUCUCUUGAGCAUUUCACAUUUUUGGCGACGAUAAUGUUUAUCUUCUUUCUUUUCGGGGAAGUGUUCCUAAUUCCA